UACGUAGGGGCGCAAGCGUUAUCCGGAAUUACUGGGCGUAAAGGCGCGUAGGCGGCCUGCUAAGUCGAACGUGAAAUCCCCGGGCUCAACCCGGGAACUGCGUCCGAUACUGGCAGGCUUGAAUUCGGGAGAGGGAUGUGGAAUUCCCGGUGUAGCGGUGAAUGCGCAGAUAUCGGGAAGAACACCCGUGGCGAAGGCGGCUCUCUGGGACGGUACUGACGCUGAGACGCGAAAGCGUGGGAGCGAACAGG
rnacentral:rRNA from 1 species